AUUUGCAGUGGAGUUGUGCUACUGACCUUGAGGGCAGUGUGUGCAGUAUUCCAAGAGAAUGGGAUAACAGAAAUUCCUGGUAAAGAUCAGAGCGGAGAUGUGCCACAGGUCUGGAAUCAAUUGAAAAUACAGUCUUGAAUUCCUCAGUGCACAAGCCAGUGGAAAUCUAUAAUGACCUCUGGGGAGAGAAAAUGGGAACUUGUGGGUUUGACAACUCAAUGAGCAAAAUUUCAGUAAGAGACUCUGUGCCCUAAAGAUCAUACCUUUGAAGUACACAAGAAUGGCAAAAUGUGGCAGAAUGGAAGAUCUGUUAAAAUUAAUUUACAGGAAAAUGAAGCUCAGAGAUUUUAACUUUUCCUAAGGCUGAAGCUGUGAAUCAAGGCCAACACAAAAAGGACAGUGUGAUCAUACCACUUGGCACCUGCUCAUGAUCAGUUCUGAUGUUUGGAAUGCACAGAGUAGAGUAGGAGCACAGGACUGGAGAGAUCUUCUGAGUGACUCAGCUACCUCAGCCAGUGCCUCCCAGGCCUCACACUGAAGAACCCUUUACUAAAAGGGAACAAACUACACUUUAAAAAUGUUUUGCCUAUCUCCACAGCUGUAAUUGUCAUUCCAUCAGGGUUCUAAGAAAGCAGAACCAUCUGGGGAAAUCAGCAUCGCUUCUCUCAGUCUCUGCCGGAAUUAAAAUGAUCUGAUGUGAAGAUGAAGAAGGAAAAGACUUCAAAAUACCCUGCUGUGGGAAUUAACCAGGGCUGUUGACCAGCAUCUAUAGUCCAGCAUGAGAGAAAAAAUUUAUUUAAAUCCUGGAACAUAAACUAGCAUUACAAGAAAGGAAAGAGAGAGUUUGAUUCUAUUAUAAUAGAACAGAAAUUGUUGUCCUGAAAUUGUUGUGCAUGUGCACUCUAAUGAAUGCCAGUGAAUUGUUCCUAGUUAUAAAGAUGCCAGGAUGAGGCUGGCAUGCAUUAGGACCAGUGGAAAAAUAUUUAUUCUCAUUCCUAAAAUAUGACUUCAUGUUCCCAGGAUUGACGUGAUGAAGGAUAUGCAGUAAAUUAGUCCAAUAUCCUCUUACCUCUAGGUCUGAACCCUGCUUAGAUCAUUGUUUGAAAUAAAUGGCUGCCUUUAUCUGAAGCAAGUCUCCUCUGAAUAUUUAUUGACAGCACAAAACAGCUUUGGCAUCUGGCACAAGUUGAUGUGAUUCAUUGUCAGUGUUCAAAGAGAGCAGGGAACAAGUGAGACUUGAGCUCUUGUAAUGGCUGGAAGUCUGCACAGGGACUGCUAAACUCAUGUUGCUGCUGCCAGGCCUGCAUUUUGAAAACCAUGCAGGAAGCUAAUGUUAAUGAAAGUUUGUGUAUAGGUGGGUGAGAGAGAAAAAUAAUAAAGACAUCAGUGAGACAGUCCUUCAAAAUGACCACCUAUCAAACACAAUUCACUGCCGAUGUCUUAAUUGCUGCUUGCUGUUUAUAAUUUGAAUUUAUCUCAUAAAAUUGUCAACGCAAAGAACACGUUGGCUAAAUUAUCAACUAAUGUGAGAUUACAGUCACAUCAGGAAAUAUCAUUAAAUGAAUAAUUCUCUGAGCACCAGGGCAAACAAAGCGUGAUGUUCUGUGAAUUUGCAUCCACCACCUUGAAAUGACAGUAUUUAUUAAACUGUGACUUUUUCAUAUUAGGA